rnacentral:rRNA from 1 species
AUUGAACGCUGGCGGCAUGCCUUACACAUGCAAGUCGAACGGCAGCACGGGUGCUUGCACCUGGUGGCGAGUGGCGAACGGGUGAGUAAUAUAUCGGAACGUACCUUAUUGUGGGGGAUAACGCAGCGAAAGCUGUGCUAAUACCGCAUAAUCCCUAAGGGGGAAAGCGGGGGACCGUAAGGCCUCGCGCAAUUAGAGCGGCCGAUACCUGAUUAGCUAGUUGGUGAGGUAAAGGCUCACCAAGGCAACGAUCAGUAGCUGGUCUGAGAGGACGAUCAGCCACACUGGGACUGAGACACGGCCCAGACUCCUACGGGAGGCAGCAGUGGGGAAUUUUGGACAAUGGGGGCAACCCUGAUCCAGCAAUGCCGCGUGAGUGAAGAAGGCCUUCGGGUUGUAAAGCUCUUUCGCAAGGGAAGAAAACUCGAUCUCUAAUAUAGGUUGAGGCUGACGGUACCUUGAUAAGAAGCACCGGCUAACUACGUGCCAGCAGCCGCCGUAA